AAUCUUUGGUGCAGGCAUUUUUGAAUCAACAUUUUGAACUCCCAUGCCUUAUAGAAACUUUUCCCUUCUAUCUAUCUAAAGAUAGCAAUCUCUCUUCUUAGUUG
rnacentral:snoRNA from 1 species